UGGGGAAUAUUGCACAAUGGGGGAAACCCUGAUGCAGCGACGCCGCGUGAAGGAAGAAGUAUCUCGGUAUGUAAACUUCUAUCAGCAGGGAAGAAAAUGACGGUACCUGACUAAGAAGCCCCGGCUAACUACGUGCCAGCAGCCGCGGUAAUACGUAGGGGGCAAGCGUUAUCCGGAUUUACUGGGUGUAAAGGGAGCGCAGGCGGCAGCGCAAGUCAGAAGUGAAAGCCCGGGGCUUAACUCCGGGACUGCUUUUGAAACUGUGCGGCUAGAUUUCAGGAGAGGUAAGCGGAAUUCCUAGUGUAGCGGUGAAAUGCGUAGAUAUUAGGAGGAACACCAGUGGCGAAGGCGGCUUACUGGACUGAUAAUGACGCUGAGGACUCGAAAGGCGAUGGGGAGCAAAGCAGGAUUAGAUACC
rnacentral:rRNA from 1 species